rnacentral:rRNA from 1 species
CCUACGGUCGGCAGCAGUGAGGAAUAUUGGUCAAUGGGCGCGAGCCUGAACCAGCCAAGUCGCGUGAGGGAAGACUGCCCUAUGGGUUGUAAACCUCUUUUGUCGGGGAGCAAAAGACGCCACGCGUGGCGUUCCGAGAUUACCCGAAGAAAAACCAUCGGCUACCUCCGUGCCAGCAGCAGCGGUAAUACGGAGGAUGCGACCGUUAUCGGGAUUUAUUGGGUUUAAAGGGUGGGCAGGCGGAAUUUCAAGUCAGCGGUAAAAUUGUGGGGCUCAACCCCUUCGAGCCGUUGAAACUGGUGUUCUUGAGUGAGCGAGAGGUAUGCGGAAUGCGUGGUGUAGCGGUGAAAUGCAUAGAUAUCACGCAGAACUCCGAUUGCGAAGGCAGCAUACCGGCGCUCAACUGACGCUCAGGCACGAAAGUGUGGGUAUCGAACAGGAUUAGAUACCCCGGUAGUC